rnacentral:rRNA from 1 species
GACGAAGGGGGCUAGCGUUGUUCGGAAUUACUGGGCGUAAAGCGCGUGUAGGCGGCUAAGUAAGUCGGGCGUGAAAUCCCACGGCUCAACCGUGGAAGUGCACUCGAAACUGCGUAGCUAGAGUCCUGGAGAGGAAGGUGGAAUGCUUGGUGUAGAGGUGAAAUUCGUAGAUAUCAAGCGGAACACCGGUGGCGAAGGCGGCCUUCUGGACAGUGACUGACGCUGAGACGCGAAAGCGUGGGGAGCAAACAGG